rnacentral:misc_RNA from 1 species
GAAAUGCGAUAAGUAAUGUGAAUUGCAGAAUUCAGUGAAUCAUCGAAUCUUUGAACGCACCUUGCGCUCCUUGGUAUUCCUUGGAGCAUGCCUGUUUGAGUAUCAUGAAAUCUUCAAAGUAAAUCUUUUGUUAACUCAAUUGGUUUCUACUUUGGUAUUGGAGGUCUUUGCAGCUUCACACCUGCUCCUCUUUGUUCAUUAGCUGGAUCUCAGUGUUAUGCUUGGUUCCACUUGGCGUGAUAAGUUAUCUAUCGCUGAGGACACUGUAAAAGGUGGCCAAGGUAAAUGCAGAUGAACUGCUUCUAAUAGUCCAUUGACUUGGACAAUACUUUUAUGAUCUGAUCUCAAAUCAGGUAGGACUACCCGCUGAACUUAAGC